rnacentral:rRNA from 1 species
GUCUUUUUGAGUAUAAUUUAAAGUCUGACCUGCCCACUGAAUUUUAAAUGGCCGCGGUAUUUUGACCGUGCAAAGGUAGCAUAAUCAUUAGUUUUUUAAUUGAAAGCUGGAAUGAAUGGUUGAAUAAAAAAAUAACUGUCUCAAUUUAAUUUUAUUAGAAUUUUAUUUUUAAGUUAAAAAGCUUAAAUAUAACUAAAAGACGAGAAGACCCUAUAGAGUUUAAUAAAAUAGUUAGGUUUAUUAUUUAUAGAAUUUAAAUAGAUUAUUUAAUUAUUUUAUUUGGUUGGGGUGAUUGAAAAAUUAAAGAAACUUUUUUUAUAUUUGAACAAAUUUAAUUGAAUAAUUGAUCCAAAAAUUUUGAUUAUAAGAAUAAAUUACCUUAGGGAUAACAGCGUAAUUUUUUUUGAGAGUUCAUAUCGAAAAAAGAGAUUGCGACCUCGAUGUUGGAUUAAAGAAAGUUUUUGGUGUAGAAGUUAAAUAACUAGGUCUGUUCGACCUUUGAAUCUUUACA